GGUAAUUGAAUCAGAGAGGAAAGGAGAGUCGUGCAUGGAAUCAAACAGAAUGCGGCUGGUUUGAUAGAGUGAAAAUGACUAGACACGCUCAACAAGUCAGGGAGCAUCGAUGGAAUGAAAGACAGUUAAUAUUUCAGGUCCGUGAUCUUUUCCUAGAGCUUCAGCAGUUUGGUUUUUGCAAUUGAUCUCAUCAUUGCCUCAGAUCUACUUUCCCAUCGGGUAUCCAUAAUCCUGGACCAACUAGACAUCACUUAAAAGAUACCUUCUUCCUCCCUGGUGUCAACUUUGCAAACCUUCUUUGAACUGCUUUCAAUGCAUGUAAGUCACAAGAUGAGGACUGCACCUAGUGUGACAGGCACUCGCAGCAGAACAGAGAAAUCAAUGAGAAACUACACACAAAGACUGACAAACAACGAAAGUGCAAAAGAAGGCGAACUGCAAACAAAAGUAAAAUAAAUAAAUAAUACCGA